rnacentral:rRNA from 1 species
UCGAGAAUCUUCCACAAUGCGCGAAAGCGUGAUGGAGCAAUGCCUCGUGCGGGAUGAAGGUCUUCGGAUUGUAAACCGCUGUCACUUGGGACGAAAAUAUGACGGUACCAAGAGAGGAAGCCACGGCUAACUACGUGCCAGCAGCCGCGGUAAUACGUAGGUGGCGAGCGUUGUUCGGAUUUAUUGGGCGUAAAGGGUUCGUAGGUGGUUGAAUAAGUCUGAUGUGAAAUUUCACGGCUCAACCGUGAAACUGCAUUGGAGACUGUUCGACUUCGAGUACUGUAGGGGCAAGUGGAAUUCCUAGUGUAGCGGUGGAAUGCGUAGAUAUUAGGAAGAACACCAAAAGCGAAGGCAGCUUGCUGGGCAGAUACUGACACUGAGGAACGAAAGCGUGGGGAGCAAACA